AUGGUAGGGAUUGAUCUACAUGACGUGUCAAUUAAAAAGAAAAGUUUGAGGUUCUCUGAAGUGUGAAGUUAGUUCAGCACUCCUGCUUAUUAAGAAGCAAGCAGAAGGAGGGGGGAAAACUCUGAAGUGCCUUGUUAGUUGUUUCUUCGCGUUUUCCGAAUGGACCGAAUAUGCCUCACUCUCCUCCUCUUCGUGGCGGUGGCGAUGUGCCGCGCAGACACCAACAACAGCUCCGGCGGCCUGUUAUUGCCCACUGAUGCGGUGGAUUCUGUUUUAGUUCCGCCUGAAAACUCCGACGGCGGCUUUUCUUCACUGGACAGCAUGUUAAACUGGGCUAUAAGUAAUUCGGAUCCCGAAAAAUUAAAGGAAUCUGCCCAAGCUCAGCAACGGCUCUCACCAAGCGAGCUCCAGAAACGCCAAAUGGAAAUCAAGGAGAUUAUGGAGAAAACAAAGAUGCCUUCGGACGGGGAACUAAUGAAGAUUGCUAUAAGUGACUUGAAUAACAAGUCAGCAUCAUUGGAAGAUAGGUACCGUGCAUUACAGGAGCUCUUAGAGCUCGUGGAGCCAAUAGAUAAUGCAAACGAUUUGCACAAACUUGGGGGACUUGUCGUGAUUACACAGGAACUUAAUCACUCUGAUCCAGGCAUAAGGACAAUUGCUGCAUGGAUCCUCGGGAAAGCUAGUCAAAAUAACCCAAUUGUGCAGCAGCAGGUCUUGGAACUCCAAGUACUCUCUAAGCUGAUGAAAAUGGUAAAAUCUGAUUCUGUAGAAGAAGCCAAUAAGGCACUAUAUGCAGUUUCAGCAUUAAUUCGGAAUAAUGCUGCAAGUCAGGAGAAGUUCUAUGCCGAAGCUGGAGGUUGGAUGCUUCACGAUAUUUUGAGGAAUGCUAAUCUUGAUAUCAGACUACGGAAGAAGGCUGUGCUCCUAUUGGCUGAUCUAGCAGCGUAUCAACUAGAGAAUGUAGACAGAGAUGGCCCGCCUUUUUUCAAUGAUCGGGAUCUGUUGAAGUCAGUAGUUGAUUUAACUGCAUCACCUGAUCUUGAUCUCCAGGAGAAGGCUCUUGUAGCGAUUAGAAGUUUUCUGCAACUAAGGAUCACCGAAGCUAUCGUUUUCAGAGAUUUUUGUGCUUUGGGAAAUGCACUGAAUAGGAUGAAGCAAUCGUUGCAUGAUUUGAUGGCAGACGAGUAUCAGAGAGACUAUGUGAUGGAUGUGGAAACCCUUCGCAUUGAAGUGGAACAAAUUUUCCAUAAAAAACUCGUAAAGCAGUGAUGAGUUCACAUUCCUGUGAUCAUAAUGACGCAUAAUUAUUCAGUUUCUAGGUGUCGUAUCAUCCUAUCUUCCGGACAUGAGAUUCACAAGAUUUUGGUUUUCAUAGAAGGAGCCAACAUCCCAAUCAUCAGUAGUUGAAGAAAGUGUCAUUAAGGCAACGACAAUGGAUCUCAUACUCGGACGCAGUUGGGGAUUGUCCUGUGUACAAGCUUUCGCUAGAUGCGCCAUCUGGAAGCCAAAUAAGUCAUGGUAGAUUGAGGACUUGAAAUCAUUACAAAAUAAAUAAAUAAAUAAAUGCUCAAACAGUCGAAUCAAACAAAUAUGCUCACUUUGCGAACUGAAUCAAUAGGGUAGUUUUCCCCAAGCCUUGGAUCCACUAGUUUACAAAGAUCUUCUGUAGGAUCAGGCUGACUAAGAACUCCUUCAAACUGCAUUAUAAAAAGAAUUUAAUAUAUUUUACUGUGAUUAGGCAGUU